rnacentral:rRNA from 1 species
GACCAAAGGGGGCGAGCGCAAGCAGCUUCCACCGAAGGAGGAGCCUGCGUCCGAUUAGCUAGUUGGUGGGGUAACGGCCUACCAAGGCGACGAUCGGUAGCCGGCCUGAGAGGGCGACCGGCCACACUGGAACUGAGACACGGUCCAGACUCCUACGGGAGGCAGCAGUGGGGAAUAUUGCGCAAUGGGCGAAAGCCUGACGCAGCGACGCCGCGUGGGUGAUGAAGGCCUUCGGGUUGUAAAGCCCUGUCGGGUGGAGCGAAUGACUUAGUGGCGAAUAACCGCUAGGUGUGACGGUACCACCGAAGGAAGCCCCGGCUAACUACGUGCCAGCAGCCGCGGUAAGACGUAGGGGGCGAGCGUUGUUCGGAUUUACUGGGCGUAAAGCGCGCGUAGGCGGCCAGAUAAGUCGGGUGUGAAAUCCCUCGGCUCAACCGAGGGUCCGCAUCCGAUACUACUUGGCUCGAGUCUAGGAGAGGAAAGCGGAAUUCCCAGUGUAGCGGUGAAAUGCGUAGAUAUUGGGAGGAACACCGGUGGCGAAGGCGGCUUUCCGGACUAGUACUGACGCUGAGGCGCGAAAGCUAGGGGAGCGAACGGGAUUAGAUACCCCGGUAGUCCUAGCCGUAAACGGUGGGCACUAGGUGUGGGAGGUAUUGACCCCUUCCGCGCCGAAGCUAACGCAUUAAGUGCCCCGCCUGGGGAGUACGGGCCGCAAGGCUAAAACUCAAAGGAAUUGACGGGGGCCCGCACAAGCGGUGGAGCAUGUGGUUUAAUUCGACGCAACGCGAAGAACCUUACCAGGGCUUGACAUCCCACGAACCUGCCUGAAAGGGCGGGGUGCCCGCAAGGGAGCGUGGAGA